rnacentral:rRNA from 1 species
UACAGAGGUGGCAAGCGUUGUUCGGAAUACUGGGCGUAAAGGGCGCGUAGGCGGUUCGAUAAGUCCCGUGUGAAAUCCCUCGGCUCAACUGAGGAACUGCACGGGAAACUGACGGGCUUGAGUUCGGGAGAGGGAAGCGGAAUUCCGGGUGUAGCGGUGAAAUGCGUAGAUAUCCGGAGGAACACCAGUGGCGAAGGCGACUUACUGGACACAUAUUGACGCUGAGGUGCGAAAGCGUGGGGAGCAACAGG